UUUAUUGGAGAGUUUGAUCCUGGCUCAGGAUGAACGCUGGCGGCGUGCCUAAUACAUGCAAGUCGAGCGAAUGGAUUAAGAGCUUGCUCUUAUGAAGUUAGCGGCGGACGGGUGAGUAACACGUGGGUAACCUGCCCAUAAGACUGGGAUAACUCCGGGAAACCGGGGCUAAUACCGGAUAACAUUUUGAACCGCAUGGUUCGAAAUUGAAAGGCGGCUUCGGCUGUCACUUAUGGAUGGACCCGCGUCGCAUUAGCUAGUUGGUGAGGUAACGGCUCACCAAGGCAACGAUGCGUAGCCGACCUGAGAGGGUGAUCGGCCACACUGGGACUGAGACACGGCCCAGAC
rnacentral:rRNA from 1 species